rnacentral:rRNA from 1 species
GGAGUUAGCCGGUGCUUCUUCUGCGAGUAACGUCACAGAUGUAAGGUAUUAACUUACACCCUUUCCUCCUCGCUGAAAGUGCUUUACAACCCGAAGGCCUUCUUCACACACGCGGCAUGGCUGCAUCAGGGUUUCCCCCAUUGUGCAAUAUUCCCCACUGCUGCCUCCCGUAGGAGUCUGGGCCGUGUCUCAGUCCCAGUGUGGAUGAUCAUCCUCUCAGACCAGCUAGGGAUCGUCGCCUAGGUGAGCCUUUACCUCACCUACUAGCUAAUCCCACCUGGGCUUAUCCAUCAGCGCAAGGCCCGAAGGUCCCCUGCUUUCCCCCGUAGGGCGUAUGCGGUAUUAGCAGUCGUUUCCAACUGUUAUCCCCCACAAAUGGGCAAAUUCCCAGGCAUUACUCACCCGUCCGCCGCUCGUCAUCUUCAAAAGCAAGCUUUUGAAAUGUUACCGCUCGACUUGCAUGUGUUAGGCCUGCCGCCAGCGUUCAAUCUGAGCCAGANCAACCAACUUCACUACGAGACGGCGUCGCGACGACGC